rnacentral:rRNA from 1 species
AUUGAAUGCUGGCGGCAGGCCUAACACAUGCAAGUCGAACGAGCGGCGGACGGGUGAGUAAUGUCUGGGAAACUGCCCGAUGGAGGGGGAUAACUACUGGAAACGGUAGCUAAUACCGCAUACCAUCUGAUGUGCCCAGAUGGGAUUAGCUGGUAGGUGAGGUAACGGCUCACCGAGGCGACGAUCCCUAGCUGGUCUGAGAGGAUGACCAGCCACUCUGGAACUGAGACACGGUACAGACGACUACGGGAGGCAGACGUGGGGAAUAUUGCAAAAUGGGCGCAAGCCUGAUGCAGCUAUGCCGCGUGUAUGAAGAAGGCCUUCGGGUUGUAAAGUACUUUCAGCGGGGAGGCGUUACCCGCAGAAGAAGCACCGGCUAACUCCGUGCCAGCAGCCGCGGUAAUAC